rnacentral:rRNA from 1 species
UACCAGCACCCCGAGUGGUCGGGACGUUUAUUGGGCCUAAAGCAUCCGUAGCCGGUUCUACAAGUCUUCCGUUAAAUCCACCUGCUUAACAGAUGGGCUGCGGAAGAUACUAUAGAGCUAGGAGGCGGGAGAGGCAAGCGGUACUCGAUGGGUAGGGGUAAAAUCCGUUGAUCCAUUGAAGACCACCAGUGGCGAAGGCGGCUUGCCAGAACGCGCUCGACGGUGAGGGAGUAGAAAGCUGGGGGGAGCAA